rnacentral:rRNA from 1 species
AGUGAACGCUGGCGGUAGGCCUAACACAUGCAAGUCGAACGGCAGCACAGUAAGAGCUUGCUCUUACGGGUGGCGAGUGGCGGACGGGUGAGGAAUACAUCGGAAUCUACUUUUUCGUGGGGGAUAACGCAGGGAAACUUACGCUAAUACCGCAUACGACCUACGGGUGAAAGCAGCGGAUCUUCGGACCUUGCGCGAUUGAAUGAGCCGAUGUCGGAUUAGCUAGUUGGCGGGGUAAAGGCCCACCAAGGCGACGCUCCGUAGCUGGUCUGAGCGGAUGAUCAGCCACACUGGAACUUAGACACGGUCCAGGCUCCUACGGGAGGCAGCAGGGGGGAAUAUUGGACAAUGGGCGCAAGCCUGAUCCAGCCAUACCGGGUGGGUGAAGAAGGCCUUCGGGUUGUAAAGCCCUUUUGUUGGGAAAGAAAAGCAGCAGGUUAAUACCCCGCUGUUCUGACGGUACCCAAAGAAUAAGCACCGGCUAACUUCGUG